UGCAUGGCCUCUGAUGGGGGCAUUCCAGGAGAAUUCCGCAGAUUAACAAACAUCGAGAAAAUAGAUUAACUGUGAUAUUGUGGGGACUGCAAGUGACGUG